CAGUCGCCACGGGAAUACAGAGUGUGCAAGCGUUAAUCGGAAUUACUGGGCGUAAAGCGCGCGUAGGUGGUUUGUUAAGUUGGAUGUGAAAUCCCCGGGCUCAACCUGGGAACUGCAUCCAAAACUGGCAAGCUAGAGUAUGGUAGAGGGUGGUGGAAUUUCCUGUGUAGCGGUGAAAUGCGUAGAUAUAGGAAGGAACACCAGUGGCGAAGGCGACCACCUGGACUGAUACUGACACUGAGGUGCGAAAGCGUGGGGAGCAAACAGGAUUAGAUACCCCAGUAGUCCCUGUCUCUUAUAC
rnacentral:rRNA from 1 species